GACGAACCGAGCGAACGUUGUUCGGAAUCACUGGGCUUAAAGGGCGCGUAGGCGGGCUGCGGCGUCCGGGGUGAAAUCCUCCCGCUCAACGGGAGAACGGCCUCGGAUACGGGCGGCCUGGAGGGGGGUAGGGGCGUGCGGAACUGUGGGUGGAGCGGUGAAAUGCGUUGAUAUCCACAGGAACUCCGGUGGCGAAGGCGGCACGCUGGACCCCAUCUGACGCUGAGGCGCGAAAGCCAGGGGAGCCGGAACGGG
rnacentral:rRNA from 1 species